rnacentral:rRNA from 1 species
UACGUAGGGCGCAAGCGUUGUCCGGAAUUAUUGGGCGUAAAGAGCUCGUAGGCGGUUUGUCGCGUCUGUCGUGAGAGCCCACGGCUUAACUGUGGGUCUGCGGUGGAUACGGGCAGACUAGAGGCAGGUAGGGGAGAAUGGAAUUCCCGGUGUAGCGGUGAAAUGCGCAGAUAUCGGGAGGAACACCGGUGGCGAAGGCGGUUCUCUGGGCCUGUACUGACGCUGAGGAGCGAAAGCGUGGGGAGCGAACAGG